rnacentral:lncRNA from 1 species
CAGAUUGAAGAAUGAUGAAACUGCCACCAAGAAGGCAUAUCAUAUUUCUUCAGGUCAAUGGAAGAAGGCGAUUAGGAACUUGAAAUGCCGGAUACAUUUGGGUUAUGAAAAUCAAACAUGAGAUUCUAUAUGCAAUACUACCUUAGGCUUUCGUUCAUUUCAUCCAAAAAAAAAAAAAAAAAAAAACUACCUUAGGCACCAUUGUUACAUGAAACAUUUGCGCAGGAGUUAAAUAAUUACCGUCCCG